GUGAAAACUACAACAACUUGAGUCAAGCCUGUGGGUCCACGGGACAGAGUUCCAACAGAGAUAAAAUGGUUCAGAGGAAAUUAGUGUCCACACUGGUGCUCACAGAGACUAUCAUCGCAGUCCUGAAUGUGGUAGGACCUUGCAUUAAGUGACAGUCCAGAUGGAGCAAAUGGAGGAGAAGGCCAGACUUGCCUUGGUGUGGGACUCUGGGAAUUCUCACAGUGAGAGCCUGGUGCCUGGGGGAGAACAUCUUUAUUCCUGGGUUUUUA
rnacentral:lncRNA from 1 species